rnacentral:rRNA from 1 species
UACGGAGGGUGCAAGCGUUAUCCGGAUUUACUGGGUUUAAAGGGUGCGUAGGUGGGCAGGUAAGUCAGUGGUGAAAUCUCCGAGCUUAACUCGGAAACUGCCAUUGAUACUAUCUGUCUUGAAUAUCCUGGAGGUGAGCGGAAUAUGUCAUGUAGCGGUGAAAUGCUUAGAUAUGACAUAGAACACCAAUUGCGAAGGCAGCUCACUACGGGAUUAUUGACACUGAGGCACGAAAGCGUGGGGAUCAAACAGG